rnacentral:lncRNA from 1 species
CUUCUCAGAGUGAAAUCCCCUUUUUUGGUAAACACACGGGGCUUACUUCACCUCCUCUGGCCUCCUGACCACCCGGGCAGACGUCAAAUGGCCUAGCUCAUUUAUUGUCAGUCUCCUCACCGAGACAGAUCCCCAUGGCAGAAGGACCUUGGCUCUUGCGUCCAUCAUGGUGUCCCUUGUCUAGCGCAGUGGCCUGGCCCACGGAAGCAGGUGCAGGGCUGGUUGGUGAAGAGGCUCACCCUCUCCUCCGUCCUCAGCCCCAACGCUCCCCAAACCUGUGCAUUAGAGCUGUGCUGGAGUUCUUCACGUCUCUACCAGGCCAGGUGGUCACUGCUAAACUCGCCUUGGAGAGAGGAAGCCUGGAUUAUCUGUCAGGUCCAGGGGGACGAUGCUCCAUUGGGCCCCCAGCUUCAUGGGGCUGCUACCUUGGUCUGGAGGGGUACCCUGCCCUGGAAUGAAUGAGCUCCGCAAAUACUCAUCUCUGGGCAGCUGCCAAGUCUGGCCCCACUCCAGAGGACCGAGUGCUUGCAUCUGUCCCACUUCCCUUGGCAUGAAGGCCCCUGGCUGUCAGGGUGGGGCAGAGCUCCAGAGCCAGCCUUGGUGCUGGGACCCGGCCGAGCGAGGAGCUGCGGUGCCCAGGCCACAUGGCGUUCCCUGGUGAGGAGACGAUGUGAUGGCCACCAACACCCUUGGAACCCGUGUCGGCCCCAGUGCGAGUCAAGUGGACCCCUGCUGUCCUCCCGAGAAGUGUGACCAUUUAGUCUGAGGGGAGGGACAGUGGCAUCCUGAACCCCCACAGUGGCUGAGAAGGCUUCCAGCUGCCCAGCUGCCCUCUCUGCCCAGGAGGAGACGCUAUGCCAAGGCCCAGCUGUGGGAGAGUCUGCGUUUCCCGUGCCAUCCACUUGGAAAGGGCCUUCGUGCAGUCAGGGACUGGUGUGAUGGGGAGAAGGAGCCCAGUUUUCUUCUUGGGCGUUCCAGCCAAAUCAGGCUUGUUGAAGCCCUUCCCUGACUGCCAAGAGGGAGACCACUGCCUCCAGCCGGGAGUGCAGGAUGCCCAUUCUCACGUGGAUUCUCGUCCAUUGGAAUCUGGAGACAGGCCUGGACUUGGAGCCUUCUGCUCGUUGUCUGACCACAGGCUGCCAACAGGGAGACGCCUGCUAGACCGUGGUUGUUACAAAGCAGAAUCGUGGUCUAGCAGGGGGAAUAAUGCAUCCCAACCAGCGUCAGAAGGAGGCGCCAGCAGAAGGCCCGCUGCUCCCACGGGCUAAGGGGAUGAAUGACGGAGGCCAGGACCUUCCCAGGGCGUGCCUGCAGGCUUCUCCACCUAGACUGUCGUGGCCCAACCUCAGGCCAGCCCAGGCAACAGCGAGGCAAGGCCCGGCCUGGGUCUGCCGCCUCUCAGCCCAUUGGCCCUG